rnacentral:rRNA from 1 species
GGGGCAGCAUGGUCUUAGCUUGCUAAGGCCGAUGGCGACCGGCGCACGGGUGAGUAACACGUAUCCAACCUGCCGUCUACUCUUGGACAGCCUUCUGAAAGGAAGAUUAAUACAAGAUGGCAUCAUGAGUCCGCAUGUUCACAUGAUUAAAGGUAUUCCGGUAGACGAUGGGGAUGCGUUCCAUUAGAUAGUAGGCGGGGUAACGGCCCACCUAGUCUUCGAUGGAUAGGGGUUCUGAGAGGAAGGUCCCCCACAUUGGAACUGAGACACGGUCCAAACUCCUACGGGAGGCAGCAGUGAGGAAUAUUGGUCAAUGGGCGAGAGCCUGAACCAGCCAAGUAGCGUGAAGGAUGACUGCCCUAUGGGUUGUAAACUUCUUUUAUAAAGGAAUAAAGUCGGGUAUGGAUACCCGUUUGCAUGUACUUUAUGAAUAAGGAUCGGCUAACUCCGUGCCAGCAGCCGCGGUAAUACGGAGGAUCCGAGCGUUAUCCGG